rnacentral:lncRNA from 1 species
GGAGUUUUUAGCCUUUUAACAUUCAAGGAUUAGGUAAGUUCUCCCCGCGGUAGACUUCAAAUACUCUUUGUCCUGCCCCUGCUUGGCGAAAUUUACCGAAAUUAUCUACCUAUCCCGCUGGAGUGGGAGCCGGGGGAGAGCUGGAACCGCGUCUCUGCUGCUCACCUUUGUGUCCUUAGCUCCUUCGCAUGGGGUCCGACCGCAACACGUGCGCUGGAUAAACGCUUGUUAACUGGAGCUCCCUCUUUGCCCACUAGCAGGGCAUUAGCUGGUGCUGAAGACAGUGGCUGCUUGGCGAGCCUGGAUCUCCAAGUGACCCCCUCAGCAACUCCUGAUGAACAGGGACUUGCACUUAGGAAUCUGUUACAGUGAGCACAGAAGCAGACCUGUGGGCUCAUAGUCUUCACCCCCCACCCAUAUAUACAAGAUGAACAGAGUGGAGGUUAAACAACUUGACUAAACAACACAGUUCAUGGUAAAGCCCAAGACUGUACCUGCCCAUCCACUGCCUUUUCCAUGUAUCCUGGAACUGAGCAUAGAC